rnacentral:tRNA from 8 species
GAGCCCCGUCAGUCCCG